rnacentral:rRNA from 1 species
CGGCGUGCCUAAUACAUGCAAGUCGAGCGAACAGAUAAGGAGCUUGCUCCUUUGACGUUAGCGGCGGACGGGUGAGUAACACGUGGGUAACCUACCUAUAAGACUGGGAUAACUUCGGGAAACCGGAGCUAAUACCGGAUAACAUUUGGAACCGCAUGGUUCUAAAGUGAAAGAUGGUUUUGCUAUCACUUAUAGAUGGACCCGCGCCGUAUUAGCUAGUUGGUAAGGUAACGGCUUACCAAGGCGACGAUACGUAGCCGACCUGAGAGGGUGAUCGGCCACACUGGAACUGAGACACGGUCCAGACUCCUACGGGAGGCAGCAGUAGGGAAUCUUCCGCAAUGGGCGAAAGCCUGACGGAGCAACGCCGCGUGAGUGAUGAAGGGUUUCGGCUCGUAAAACUCUGUUAUUAGGGAAGAACAAACGUGUAAGUAACUGUGCACGUCUUGACGGUACCUAAUCAGAAAGCCACGGCUAACUACGUGCCAGCAGCCGCGGUAAUACGUAGGUGGCAAGCGUUAUCCGGAAUUAUUGGGCGUAAAGCGCGCGUAGGCGGUUUCUUAAGUCUGAUGUGAAAGCCCACGGCUCAACCGUGGAGGGUCAUUGGAAACUGGGAAACUUGAGUGCAGAAGAGGAAAGUGGAAUUCCAUGUGUAGCGGUGAAAUGCGCAGAGAUAUGGAGGAACACCAGUGGCGAAGGCGACUUUCUGGUCUGUAACUGACGCUGAUGUGCGAAAGCGUGGGGAUCAAACAGGAUUAGAUACCCUGGUAGUCCACGCCGUAAACGAUGAGUGCUAAGUGUUAGGGGGUUUCCGCCCCUUAGUGCUGCAGCUAACGCAUUAAGCACUCCGCCUGGGGAGUACGACCGCAAGGUUGAAACUCAAAGGAAUUGACGGGGACCCGCACAAGCGGUGGAGCAUGUGGUUUAAUUCGAAGCAACGCGAAGAACCUUACCAAAUCUUGACAUCCUUUGAAAACUCUAGAGAUAGAGCCUUCCCCUUCGGGGGACAAAGUGACAGGUGGUGCAUGGUUGUCGUCAGCUCGUGUCGUGAGAUGUUGGGUUAAGUCCCGCAACGAGCGCAACCCUUAAGCUUAGUUGCCAUCAUUAAGUUGGGCACUCUAGGUUGACUGCCGGUGACAAACCGGAGGAAGGUGGGGAUGACGUCAAAUCAUCAUGCCCCUUAUGAUUUGGGCUACACACGUGCUACAAUGGACAAUACAAAGGGCAGCUAAACCGCGAGGUCAUGCAAAUCCCAUAAAGUUGUUCUCAGUUCGGAUUGUAGUCUGCAACUCGACUACAUGAAGCUGGAAUCGCUAGUAAUCGUAGAUCAGCAUGCUACGGUGAAUACGUUCCCGGGUCUUGUACACACCGCCCGUCACACCACGAGAGUUUGUAACACCCGAAGCCGGUGGAGUAACCAUUUAUGGAGCUAGCCGUCGAAGGUGGACAA